rnacentral:rRNA from 1 species
UACGUAGGGACCAAGCGUUGUCCGGAAUCAUUGGGCGUAAAGAGCGUGUAGGCGGCUUGUUAAGUCUUGCGUGAAAUCUCGGGGCUCAACCCCGAGCGGUCGUGAGAAACUGGCAGGCUAGAGUGCGGGAGAGGAGAGUGGAAUUCCUGGUGUAGCGGUGAAAUGCACAGAUAUCAGGAAGAACACCCGUGGCGAAGGCGGCCCUCUGGAACGCAACUGACGCUGAGACGCGAAAGCGUGGGGAGCGAACAGG